rnacentral:lncRNA from 1 species
UGCACAUAUUUUUUAUAAACCUAGUCAAAGUUGAAAAAACUUAACUCACACACAUCCCAUAGCGACCUCUAUUUUGGGAUAGAGGGAGUAGCUGCAUUUUUCUACUAUAAGUACACAUCAGCACUACUCUCGAAACAUGUCCUCACUAUAAGCUAAAGAAAUAUAAUUUUGUUCACCUUUCCUGAACAAAAAAUCAGACGACUAAACGUCUCGACCUCUACAGGCGAUGCUCUCUCUCUCUCAUGACGCUCCUUUCCCCUUCCUCUCUCAUGUGAUGCUCAUUCCCAAUGCGCCUCCGUGAGCAGAUGUCUGCACCCUGCUUUGGCGAGCUCCUCCCCAUGGCUUCGCCUGUGCGCCCACGGCCCACCCAUGCUCUAGCUCUUCCCCCACUCCAGCGAGCGAAUCCGGCAACCUCCCAAACCUUGGCGAGCUGAUCCAGCGGUGGCCACGACAGAUCUGACAAGGUUGGCCCUCCUCCUUCUUCUCCUCUGGAUCUGCCAAUUAAGGUUCUAGCGAGCCUCUUUCCUCUUUCUUAUCCAACUCCGAUAGGUAUAGAAGGGGUAAGCCAAGGGAGGUAGGCAGGCCAAGCUGUAGGUAUAGUGGUCGAGCAAUUUAGGGCAGCUAGCGGUGCUAGGGGCGGUCGUGACAUGUCAGGGCAAGGGAGGCUCGUCGGAGUUAGAGAAGAUGGCAGCAGACGAGCUCACCGGAGACGGAGAAGAUGGCGGUGGGCGGAAGGGGAAGCAAAAGGACGCAAUCGGUGCUAGGGGUUCACUGGAGCUUCGGCGAGCUAGGACCUAGCUCAUCAGAGCUCUGGCGAACCCAAGUGCUCGUGACAGGGUGGGGCCCAACAGCGGGGAUGGAGACGAGUGCUGGAGGAGAAAGACGAAUAGUGACUGAAGGAGAAAGAUGAACAGUGAAUACCUGAGAUUCAUCGGAUGUUGAUCUAACGACAGAAAUCCGUCAUUUGAAAGGAAUCCCAAUUUCAGGGGCCUCAAGAAUUGCAAUUCCCAAUUUUGUUGGAUCAGUUUUCAAAAAAAUGUUUGAUCUAUGUAGGACAUUUGUACUUGGGACUAUAUUGGAUGUAUGCAAAAUUAAGUUUAGAUAACCUAUAUAAAAAAUUUUGGAGAGAUAAACAAUCGAUUGAAUGGUCUGCAGCAGUCGCGCAAUUGUUCAAUCCUUCAUCGCCCGGAGUAGGUCUUUUGUCAAGCACGCGUCGCCGGCCUGCCGCACCCGCGCCGCGACGCCGGCCCGCCCCGCUCGCUGCGACGCCUGCCUGUCCUACGCGGGAGGAGGAUCCUGGCGGAGUACCAGAGCGGCAUCUCCGAUACGACCAUUCCUUGUGCCGGCAGGCGAGCAGGCCAGGCCACCGACGAACGCGUCCGCGCCGUACGCGCUGCCGCCGUGCACACUCUCCAUACUGGCUCCCGUAUCACUUGCGCCAUCGGUACGGAGAGCGUUUCGGCAAAUCACGGCGAAGGAGCCUCGUCCUCCCGAUCAUGGAGGAUUUGGAAAAUUCUGGGACCAGGGUUCCGAUUCGGAGUGCGAUGAUCUUGGUGCUGUUGAAGAACCGGCGCGCGGCGGCUCGCCGAAGCCCUCCUCGACAAUUCUAAUUGCAGCACCGUCCCCUUCGAUCCGUCGGGAGGAGAUUGCGUACACGAUGCAGCACCAAGCACCUCGACCGGCUACGACACCAACGCUGGCGGUCGUCCGACCUCCGUGGAUGAACAUGUGGAAAGGACCACUUCCGCCGCGACGCAUCACCCCGCCAGCAACAAUUGGUGACUUCAUCGCCCCGCAGCUCGUGCGUCGUGGACGGGAACGCUGCAGCGCCGGCCGGGAUCUCCACUCCGCCGGCUGGGAUCGGCAUGGAUGUGUCCGAGGUGUCAGGGAUCCUAUAAUGACGGAACCAGAGGAGGCCGUCGUUAGUGGACCGGACCCUACCCGAUUGGGCCUUGCGUCCGAACCGUACUACACCAGGGGCUUCUGUGCGACACCGAGCCACAACUCCGACGCCGCCGCCACACCAGCAUCAACAAACAACACCAAACCUCCAGAGAUUCGAAGACCUUAUCGACGGAUCAACGUUAGCACCCUCACCGACGCCUCCCCCGUGCUCUCCUACUCCUACCGCGAUGCUCUCAUGGCCGGUAACCGUGGCCACUCGCGCGGAGGAGUCGUCGCAGGGCGGGGCGCGCCGGAUCACCGUCGGGGGUGGGGUCGCGCCUUCCCUCCUGAAGCCCACAACCGUGAUUGCGAUGGAGGACAGAGUCGUGGUCACGCUGACGAUGCCCGUGGACAAGGCCGCGAGGGGGCACACGCCCGUGGCCAUCGUGACCGUGGAGGAGCACACCUGGCCGCUGGUCACGGACGCCCACUAGCAGGCGCCGGUGCUGUAGCCAGGGGCCGUGGUCAUCAACCUAGGCCGGGCCAGGGGUUAGCCGAUGACAAGGCUCACUCCGGCGGUGUUGCUGGGGUUAUAGACGGUGCCAUCAACCUCGACAACGUGGUAGAUGAAGUACACGACAACAAGAGGAAGCGCAAGGACACAUCUAUCAAGUUGGAGUGCACGAUCUGUGCAGAUGAACACUUCACCAACCAGUGCCCACUACUGCGAGGUCCCAAGCCUUCGGUGGCCUUCUGUGGAGCUGCUGAGGAUGGGAAUGGUUUCUUCCAAAUCCAAGCUGCAAGGAAUAAUCAUAUAGUGGACAAUCUUCAGUCCACAACUGCUGCUCUCGUCAUAGUGGAAAAGGGUGAAGUUUCUGCUCAGUUGCUACAGGCCGAACUAGCGAGGAUUAUCCCAUAGAGGAGCUGGAUCGUAUGCUCGCUAUUGGUUCCAUCACCACAAAGAACAAAGAGGGUACUAUUGUUUUUGAAAAAUUUGUGGAUGAUGUACAACCUACUAGGAUGUUGGAGCAAGUCUGGGUAACGGUCACAAGAGUACCCAGGAUGCUUCGAGCUUUUCUUCCUCUCUGGGCAAUGGGGUCCAUCAUUGGGGCCACUCAAAAGGUAGAUAUGGUACAUCUUCGGGCGACUGGUCAGGUCCGCAUCCUAGUGGCGGUCGUUGAUGCUAAGAAAAUCCCUCCUCUGGCUGAUGUUUGUGCUGGGAGCGGCAUUUACCGCCUCUACUUUAAAGCUGAGGAAGCCCCACAGGUUGUUGACUCCGACCUGGAGGAUGAUGAUUUAUUAGAGGACAAAGACAAAGAUAAGCAGGCUGAUGGAGACCGGGUGAUGGAGGAGGCAGAUGGUGCGAACCCUCCAAAUCCUCAGGGUAACAAUAAUACUUCCCAGAAACCUCCACAACCUUCAUAGAAUUUUCCCCCUCAGAAGCAGGCUGCUUUGGUGAAUGAGGCGUUGGAUCUGGCAUGUGAGCAACUCUUGAAUGAGAUCAGCAUUAAAGUCAUGAUGGAGUCAGACAUUGGGUCUCCGCGGAUGACUUACUCACCACCGACAGAAGAAGAAUUGGUGGCUUAUAAUAAUAUAGUGAAUUCCACUAACAAAAUUCACUCUUCUUCUAUUGUUGUGUCACUUUCGACGGAGCACAUGACUGGGGAUGUUGCUUCUGACACGGAUGCCGCAGCUGGUGAGGUUCUUGGGGGAUUUACACCGCCUUCGCCCCCUCCCUCGCCUGCUCUUGUGGAGGAGUCCCUUGCUGCUCCUACAAAAGCAGGGGGCGACUUUGCUGCAAAGGAGAACGAUGCCCUGCCUGCUGCCCUCACGGCUGCUCCUUCGGUGGUGGAGACCGCAUCAGAUCGCCGGUCCCUGCUACCCCAGCCGUGCCAAAGGGGGCCGUGGAGGAGGGGGACGCGCCGUCUUCCCCAUCGCUGGCUGCUGUGCUCCAGGAGGAGGGCGCACAGCUCGCUGCUCCCUCUAUUGCCUUGUCCGAGGAGGAGGCGCGCCCACUACCUCGGCGCCUGAGGAGGGGGGUGAGUCGGUCAUGGCCACAUCAACGCUUGUGGAGGGGGGCGUGAAGCCAGCGACCUCCUCGACAUGGGUCGAAGACGGAGAUAUCUACGCACCGUCUUCGCCGGCGGCAGGUGGCACUUCACCAACACCGCCACUUGCUACCGUCGUCUCCGCAUCACCUUCUGGGGCUACUACACCGCCUACCUUUCCGCGUGCCCAGAUCCUAGCGAUGCCGUCAGCACCCAACAAAGAGUUACGACGGAGCAUCAGGAACGCUGCAUUGGCGGAUGUGAACACCCUACACAAGGCCAAGUGGUUGGCGGCAAAGAAGAACCUCGAACUCCCAGGUUAUUUUCAGAGGAGCAUUCUGGCUACGCUUCUGGGCCCCGUUGCAGCGUGAUGAGCAAGCUAAAGCCAUUCUUUCGGCGAUAAGCAAAAAGUUGGAAAUUAUUGCCUUAGAUAUUUCAAAUAAAAGAUGGAAACAUUUUUACAGUUUGCUCUAAUAUUCUGGUCAUUGUUCAAGACCAUGGAUUGCUCUUUCUUUUUGUUUCGAAAAUAAUUGGCUGUGUACACCUCUGGUUGUAGAGGCCGGAUAUUUAUAUCCAUUAUCUAAAAAUAUUCUUAUGCGCUAAAUAUGCAUAGUCUGCAGUGCACUUUCCCAGCCGCGUGCUCACCUAGCACUGAGUCACAAACUUCAAAAAUUUUAUGCAUUAACUUAGGCCCUGUUUAGUUCCACCUAAAAUCCAAAAAAAAUCAAGAUUCUCAUCACAUCAAAUCUUGUAGCACAUGCAUAAAGCAUUAAAUAUAGAUAAAAAAACUAAUUGCACAGUUUGCCUGUAAUUUACGAGAUGAAUCUUUUAAUUCUAGUUAGUAUAUGAUUGGACAAUAAUUACCAAAUACAAACGAAAAUGCUAAAGUAGACAAAUCCUAAUUUUUUUGAACUAAACAAGGUCUUAAUAGAAUAUCUACCCUUAGUUCAUAAAGGGGUGCAUUCUAUUGUGAAAAAUGUUCUACUCAUUAAUUCCAGAAAUUAAAUGUGUACUUAGAACACACUUCAUGUACCGCAGGUGCUUGAAAAUGGAGAAUGUUAGGCGAUGAAGCGGGCGCCGAUGUGACGUAGUAGGUUGCCGUAGGCGAGGAGGCACUGCUUGGCUUAGAAGGGAGGGCUUCAGAAGCAUGUAGGCUCAACAAUGCUGAUGAGAGAAAUGACGGGGUGGCGAGGCGAUGAAGGCGCUACCGCAACAUUGAACAACCGGUGGGCAAGGAGAGGGUGGGUGUGAGAGGAACCACACUAGUGUAGGCGGUUUAGCGUGGUGGGGUAGUGGCGGCGGACCCGACAGCGGUGCUACCACAGGAGGAGGUGAGGCGGGGUAGCAUGCAUUAAUGAGCGAUCAUAUGAGUCAAAGGAAGAAGAAGAUCCUAAGUCUUUGGAUUUCGAUCCAAUGGAUGGAAUCGUUGCCUGAUCAGAUAUAAAUUUCCCCAGACACAUAGCACAACCCUAUUUAGAAAUACCCAAUUAGUUGUAUAUCUAUAGGUGCAAAUAGUUUUUUCCUUUUUUUCUCAAAUACAUAAAAGAGCCUCAUCUAGUAGAAGAAUUAAGAGUUUGUAGUUACAACAACACAUGUCACCAAGGAGUAUCUAUGUCCUAACUCCAAAAGAGAUAUUUCACAUAAUAACACCCUCUCGCCCUAACUACAAGUCCUAGACUAAACUAUGCUUUCAUAAAUACAACCUAGAGCCCUAGCACUUGCCUCAACCCAUAAGUUGGUCAUGUUCUCGACCAUGUCGCUCAAAAUCUAUCAAGCAUCUUUAGAGGCAACUCUAAAGAGUCAAGCAUUCCUUUCUUUCUAGAUUGUCCAAGUGACCAACUCCAUGAGUGUGUGAACCCCUUUCUUCAACAUUGAGAGGCAAUGACAACACCUUUACCACAGAGGACCUCUAUCAAGCGUGUGCCUUUUCCAUUAGGGUUUGAGGACACCAAGCCCGAUAAACUUCAUAAGGUUUUCCAUGCCAAGGAAAGACUGUGCAUUGUUCCUUAGUGUAUGGAUGGUUGACAUAAAUCCCACCAUCCCAAAAAGGACAUGUAGGCAAAGGUUCUAGUAGAUUAUAAUCUGGCGCUUACAAUGAGGUUGCUCCAUUCAAAAAUAUUGGCUUAUGAUGAGGUUGCUCCAUUCUAUCACGAUAUUGAAGGAUGAGCACUAGAUGGUUAGAACUACACUAAUGAAUACCAUGAUGACACCGUUGUUGUGGUUGCACAUUGGCCGCUACAGAGGUGGUAGUUGACUCUGCAUGGUUGUCAACAAGCUAAGAUAGGAAGGGAAAGAAAAGGGAGGGUGAACUCACCCACUAUCUUUAGUUAUAGUUCACAUCUAUCUAAGCAAAAUUUGAAAACUUAUUUAUUAACUAAGAUGAUAUCACUAUUUUUAAAUAAAAUAAUAAAUGGGCACACAACACAUAGUGCCUUGUGCCUUGAAAUGUAUGUUCCUUACAAUACAAGCACAUCUUAAGUGAGAACUCCGUUUUACUAAAUUUUAGCUGCCGCUGAUGAUGAUGUUGAUUUGUUAUAAGAGAAAAAUAUUGUUCCUUCGUUGAAAAAUACUGCUCAAGUAGUGUUAAAAAAACAGGGUGAUAUAUAUAACUUUUCAAAUAAAAAUUAUAUACCCUACUUAUAAACGUCGAGCUAAAUGCUAUGUUUUUGUUCGGUUUGGGAACACGAAUCUUGACACUAUUUUUAUGUACGUGGUCCUACGGCCACGAGGACUACACUACAAGCAACAUGUUGACACACCAUCAUAUAGAUAUGUCACAGUUAUAUUAUUACUUUUUUUUAUCUUGGAUUGGAUGCAGAUGCAGCUGAUCGCACCGGUACCUCAAAUAUUUUGAGAAGGAAGGAAAAUGGACUGAAGCAGGUAGCCAGUCACGGUCACGGACGCUUGUUUUGACUGCCGACGUAGGUGCUGACACGUGCGAAAGCAAGUCCAUUCUGAUCAUGGGUCAUUCGUUCUACAAAUAAUUGCAUUUUUUCGACUUCUAUGAUUCAUGUUUGACCUUUCG